UACGGGGGGAGCAAGCGUUGUUCGGAUUUACUGGGCGUAAAGGGCGCGUAGGCGGUCAGCACAAGUCAGUUGUGAAAUCUCCGGGCUUAACUCGGAAAGGUCAACUGAUACUGUGCGACUAGAGUGCAGAAGGGGCAACUGGAAUUCUCGGUGUAGCGGUGAAAUGCGCAGAUAUCGGGAGGAACACCAAUGGCGAAGGCAGCUCGCUGGGACGUUACUGACGCUGAGACGCGAAAGCGUGGGGAGCAAACAGG
rnacentral:rRNA from 1 species